rnacentral:rRNA from 1 species
UACGAAGGGGGCUAGCGUUGCUCGGAAUUACUGGGCGUAAAGCGCACGUAGGCGGUCUUUUAAGUCGGGGGUGAAAUCCUGGAGCUCAACUCCAGAACUGCCUUCGAUACUGGAAGACUCGAGUCCGGGAGAGGUGAGUGGAACUGGCGAGUGUAGAGGUGAAAUUCGUAGAUAUUCGCAAGAACACCAGUGGCGAAGGCGGACUCACUGGCCCGGUACUGACGCUGAGGUGCGAAAGCGUGGGGAG